rnacentral:lncRNA from 1 species
UCAUUAAACUGCGUAUUUUCUUUGGUCAAUUGAUCAACCUUUGCAUGCAUAUUUAAUUUUCGUUUUUGCAUUCUAAACACCAAAUUUUCGUUAUUCAAGUCUUAAAUAAUCAACAAAUCACAUGAAAGUCUAGGCCAAUGAGUCUCUAGGGAAACAAUACUUGGUCUUACCACUUAUUAUUACUUGAUACGAUUCAGUACACUUGUCGGAGUCUUAACAACUUUAAUUUUGUGCCACCGUCAUCCACCACAUCUCUCAUUUCUUUUCACUCCUCCUUUUUCACUUUUUCUUUCAUUCAUGAUAUAUACCACCCUAUCAACGGAAUGCUAAGCUUUUAGGAUUAAUUCUAAUGUAAUUUCAUAAUGGAUUCUAAGGUUAGAAUGAAAUCAUUUCUUU